CUCCUGGCUCCCCUCUGGCUCCUGGCACCAACUCCGGGCAGUCACAUGACGCCGGCGCCGCUCGCUCUGCGAGCCUCCCAGGGCUGGCGGGAAAGUCUGUUUAAGAAAAGAAGAAAGGAAGAGAGAGAAAUAGACUGCUGACUACAUGAUGAAGCUUCUACAUCUUGUGCUGGAUACCAGUUGCAUCCCUGGACUCUGUAGUUAACAGACAAUACAUCCCAUUUCUUCUGCUUCAGCUAGUAGAUCAACCUAGAACCAUCUGGAAGCACCCCAUCAUCUACAGAGGAACUGUUUCCUGUCUCUCCAGCUUUUCCCUUCACCAUCCUCCAGCUCCUCUGAUGGAGGCAGAGGUUUCCUAGAGGUUGAGGUCCUCUUUUCGCCUCCAGUAGCUGGCAGCUGAAGGGCUGAUGAAAGAAGAAAAGGGGAAGGAAGAGGAGAGAGAAGACGAAGAGGGGAUGAGGAAGAGGAAGGGCCAACAAGGAAGGCUCACUUUCCUUCCCUGGAAACCUUGUGUUCAUUUCCAAAACUCUAACUUGAGGUUCUCCUGGAAAAGAAAAAGGCUUGGGUUCUUCUGCAUGCUUGAUUGUGUGAUUUUUUUUUUUUAAUCUGGAUUGAUUUUAUGGUUUCUCUGGAAUCAAACUGGGAAUUGAAUUAUUCCCCAGGCGAAAAACAUAGACAAAACUUCUACAGUGUUCUCCAAAACACAAUGCAGUACCCACCCCUCACCCCUCCACCAUACACCCACACUUCAAAGCUUCAAAUUGACGUGUUUGACAUACUUACCGUAAAUCAAAUCUGCUGUGCACACCAGUACAUAGUGCCAGUAAGCCCAGUGUAACCAAUUCACAUUUUUCAGCCUUGACCUCCAAUGGUGAGAACAAGUGAAUGCUGACAGAGAGAAAAAGGCUGAGGCAAGGAUGCCACACACAUGCCCUUUCAGAAGGCAGGAGCACCGCUGGAGUCGGGGAGGAAGGGAGCCUGAAAUCAAGGCUGACCUAGUACUCCUCGGGAUAGGCUGGCAGAAGCCAGACUGGGUCACAUGGCCUCAGGGUGCUCCUAGUAGGUUCUCUGCAUUUUCUCUGCAAGAGCAGAGUGAACGCUGAUGCAGAUCAAAGGGAAGAUGCGAGAAGUGACCUGUCUUCUGGCUGGUGGGACCCAAGCCUUAAGCAGCAGCCCCUGAUCCAUGUCUUCUCACUUGUCCUAACUCUCACACCCCAGCUCUGGUCCUUCUUCUAGAAACUUGAUUCUUGCCUGAGUCCUUAGUUCACCUCUUGUGUCGAGUUGUGUCCUGGGUGCAUACAAAUUGAGACAUUCUUCCCUGAUGCUCACCACAGCUGCUGCUUUGAUCCUUCUGGUUCUGCUUCCUCCCUGUUCUCCACUGCUGUGCCAUCUUCCUUUCCUGCCCCUGGUGCUCCCCAUAUCCAGCAUUGCACCUCCCUCCAGCUGAGUCUCUUUAGGAACAAAUAUAUAGGUCUAUCGUUGCCAGGCCCCUUUACUCAGUACCCCUCCACAAAAGGUUUAUCUCAUUUCAUCUUCUCCAUAAGGAAACUCUUCCAUCUCCUGACACAGCAUGCAAUCUGUGAAAAUAGAACUCUCAAGUCAAAUCUUGCGAUCUGAAUCACUUUCAGAUUCCUCUUAAUGUAUUACAGACAUAUUGUUAGUAAAGAAAGAAGUUUUGCUCUGUAAAUUCAGCUGUGGAGUUGUUUCUGCCAUUGUGCCUGGCAUGGUACCUGGUGUUCCACAGCACUUGCUUUGGGAAACAUCAUUCUUCCUGCUGCCGGGCAGCGCGGUAAGAGGCUGAGUGACUUGCUAGGGGACCGUGCUGCUUCUUAUAGAAUCACCUCGGGUGAGCUAAUCCCAUCUUCAUCUGGAGAUCAGGCUGAUCAUAACAUAUUGCUUUGUAAGGACACAAUGAGAUCACUGAAGCAAGGUGCUUAGAAUAUGACUAGAAUAUUGUACCCACCCAAUAAGUGACAUUAGUUAUUUUUCUCAUUUUCUUUUGGGCCACCUCCAGUUCUGUAGUCUACAAUAUUUUCAAGGUGCUCUUUUUUGGCAAUAAGUACCACUCUGGGGUGCUAUCCCAUGCAAACAUUUUAGAUAAUUUCACUAUAAUUUAUGACCUUACAUGUGUAUACAAUAAAGUCUCUUAGCCAUAUUUUUGCUCACUUCUGCAACCUCAGGAGGUUUUUCUGCACUUUACUUAGUCACUUGAAUAAUGCUUCAGUUUAAACAAAAUCUCCAUGAUAGUUGAAGGAAAAAAAUCAGCUUGUGUCUCUCCCACAAAACAGAUGGCAAGUGAUUCAGAACAAGACAGUCUCUAGAGUUACAAAUAGUGCCCUUUCUUUUGGAAGAAAGAAUGACUUAUUUUUUUGUGCCUAUGCCAAAGUCUGGGACAAAAUUAAGUUACUCCUUGUUUAUUUCCUUUUUCCUAUGUUAUCUCCAACUGUCUGGCGACUCUGCCCACUCUGAGUGAAACGUCCUUUCUCCACUCAGAGGUUGUAGCUCAAAGGAAUAAAACACCUCUUUUAGAAACAGACAAACACAGAUAGAUAAACAAUUGUCCAUGUGCCUGAAGCCUCCCGAAUAAUAAAUUAGAAAACCUACUUUAUUCUUAACUACAAGUGACACAUCAAUGUAUUCUCUUACAGAUAAAUCUGAAGUCCUCAUUGACUGUCAACUCAAUCUCAGGACUUAGUUUGCAUGUACACACACACAUACACACACACACAUCAUUGUCUUGUGUUUGCUUUUAAGUAAACUACAUCCAGUUUUAUUUUUCAGCCUAUCAGUUCAGUUUAGUCACUCAGCUGUGUCCAACUCUUUGCAAUCCCAUGGACUGCAGCACACCAGGCC